rnacentral:rRNA from 1 species
AACGAACGCUGGCGGCAGGCCUAACACAUGCAAGUCGAGCGAGCAUUUCGGUGCUAGCGGCGGACGGGUGAGUAACGCGUGGGAACGUGCCCUUUUCUGCGGAAUAGUCCUGGGAAACUGGGGGUAAUACCGCAUACGCCCUUUUGGGGAAAGAUUUAUCGGAGAAGGAUCGGCCCGCGUUGGAUUAGGUAGUUGGUGGGGUAAUGGCCCACCAAGCCGACGAUCCAUAGCUGGUUUGAGAGGAUGAUCAGCCACACUGGGACUGAGACACGGCCCAGACUCCUACGGGAGGCAGCAGUGGGGAAUCUUAGACAAGGGGGGCAACCCUGAUCUAGCCAUGCCGCGUGAGUGAUGAAGGCCUUAGGGUUGUAAAGCUCUUUCAGCUGGGAAGAUAAUGACGGUACCAGCAGAAGAAGCCCCGGCUAACUCCGUG